GAAACUUCAUAUGUGUGGAAUGACACAUGUGGCCUCUGCAUCUGGCUUCUUUCACAUAGCCUAAUGUUUUCAAGGCUGGCGCAUGUUGUAGCAUCUAUCAGAACUUCAUUCCUCCUUACAGCUGAUAACACUCCAUUAUGUGGAUAUGGAUAUGCCACACUUUAUCUUUUCAUCAGUUCGUGGACAUCUGGAUUGUCUCCACUUUUUGACUACGACACGUUCUGAAUUACCAGCGAUUUCACUCACUCAGAAUACAUAGAGACGAGGCUCCUCAUUCAGAAUCUCCCUGCACCUCAUGAUGGACUUGGCUGCACAUGGGACAACUCAGUCAUUUCCUGGAACUUGCAUUUCACUGGGAGAGGCCUGCUCUCAGGGAGGGUGCUUUUUGUGGUCUUCCAUGUACAGCUAAUUAAGAUUCUGACUGGGUUUAGGAUCAAAGAAAGCUGUCCCAUUGCAUUCCCACAUUCUUCCUUCUUCUUUCAAUGUCUUCCAAGAUCUAUUUUAAACGGGAAGUGUUGUGUACUUUUCAGGGGCCCUUUGACCUGUUCCCAGUAAAUCAAAACAGGAAGGUAGGUCUCAGCCCUUCGCCUAACAGCCAAUCAGUGUGAGACCAAGGUCUGCACAGCUGUGUCUAUGUCCAGUGCCCAACCAGGGAAGUGGUAUUUCCAAAGGCUUCCCUGAGGUCGGUCUAUGGUAGCUGUUUGCUAAUCUGAAUCCAUGUUGGUGAUUAAUUUUGGAAUUCGACUCUUUGAGUGUAUAAGGGACAGGGUGCAAAGGGAAAACAUCUCAGAGAACUUCUACAAAUAUUAGGAGUUGGUGCAAGAAGUUCACAGUGAGCUGGGAAGGAGUGGGAAGAAAUAACAGGGCCUUGGAUCCUUUCCAAUUCCCACCCCGGUGCGCUUGGCAGCUCACAUGAUACCUCGACUUUUCCAAAUAUUGGGGAGAAAAAGCAGCCAAGGUUUUAUGUAAGAAUGAAAAGGGCCUGAAGCAUUUCAAUUUCCGGGUGGCUAAACAAAAGAGGACACACACCAGGGAAAGCCCCUUAAAGUGUGUGCAGAAGAGUUGGACAAAAGAGAAGAGGCAUUUAAUCAGACAGAGAAAAAAAUAGAAAUGAUGUCAUUAUUUGGGUAUAGUGAGGUUGCCAUGUAGGUGUGUUUGUAUAAAUUCCUUGGGCUUUUCCUAGUAAUGAGAUAAUGCUGUAAGGUCCCCAGUUCCUCAAAAAUUUAGCUAAAACUUGGAGCGAUACUAAUUACAAAACACAAUCGCCACGCAGGUAAAGCUAUACAUAUCAUAAAUAUAGUCUACUGCUUACAGGAUGAGACCCUUGUUAGCAUGGGAGGGGCCCGAUUUCAUAAUUUGUACACCUGCAAUGCAGGGACUGAUCUCUCUGUAGGUGCACAUUUGCCUCAGGGUACACUGGCCUAGUGCGGCACUGCCCUACAAAGGCAAAUCCUCCAUCAAUACAUAAUGAAAAACGACCCAUCAAAAAAAUAAGUCAGAGUUGGGGAGGCACAGAAAAAGUGACAAAUUGAUUCCAGACUCUUCUUUUUUAGGCCAUCAUGGAAACAGUUACUGGAUUUAUAUUGGAAAAUUCCUACCAGGGUGUGACGCCUUCAAUCGCCCUUCGUUUCCCGUGAUCUCCCCAGGAGCAGGCAGAGGGGCAUCCUGGGAACCGACCGCGAGGUGGCCUGGAUCUUACUGCUGCCACUGAGUGCCGCUCCCAGGAA
rnacentral:lncRNA from 1 species